GACGAACGCUGGCGGCGUGCUUAACACAUGCAAGUCGAACGGAAAGGCCCCUUCGGGGGUACUCGAGUGGCGAACGGGUGAGUAACACGUGGGCAAUCUGCCCUGCACUUCGGGAUAAGCCUGGGAAACUGGGUCUAAUACCGGAUAGGACCUUUAGGCGCAUGUCUUUAGGUGGAAAGCUUUUGCGGUGUGGGAUGGGCCCGCGGCCUAUCAGCUUGUUGGUGGGGUGAUGGCCUACCAAGGCGACGACGGGUAGCCGGCCUGAGAGGGUGUCCGGCCACACUGGGACUGAGAUACGGCCCAGACUCCUACGGGAGGCAGCAGUGGGGAAUAUUGCACAAUGGGCGCAAGCCUGAUGCAGCGACGCCGCGUGGGGGAUGACGGCCUUCGGGUUGUAAACCUCUUUCACCAUCGACGAAGGUCCGGGUUUUCUCGGAUUGACGGUAGGUGGAGAAGAAGCACCGGCCAACUAC
rnacentral:rRNA from 1 species